GAUGAACGCUGGCGGCGUGCCUAAUACAUGCAAGUCGAGCGAAGCGAGGACGGGUGAGGAAGACGUGGUUAACCUCCUAUAAGACUGGGAUAACGUCGGGAAACAGGUGGUAAAGCGGCUAUUCAGAUAUGGAUGCUCGGUGGAUUAGCUAGUUGGUAAGGGAACGGCUUACCAAGGCAACGAUGCAUAGCCGACCUGAGAGGGUGAUCGGCCACACUGGGACUGAGACACGGUCCAGACUCCUACGGGAGGCAGCAGUAGGGAAUCUUCCGCAAUGGGCGAAAGCCUGACGGAGCAACGCCGCGUGAGUGAUGAAGGUUUUCGGAUCGUAAAACUCUGUUGUUAGGGAAGCGGUACCUAAUCAGAAAGCCACGGCUAACUACGUGCCAGCAGCCGCGGUAAUUC
rnacentral:rRNA from 1 species